AUGAAGGAGACAGCGGCGGCGCGACCUGCCGUCGAGAAGAAUGAGGCGGUUGCGGCGACGCCCGCACGCAAGAGGCGCGCAUCCGACGAAGCGUCUGGGUCCAGGUCCAGGUCCAGGUCACACAAACUGGCACGUGAUUGCGGCUGCGACGGCGAUCUCAUCAACAAUCUUCCGGAUGUUAUCCUCGCCACCAUCGUCUCCCUCCUCCCCACCAAGUACGGCGUCCGCUCGCAGGCCGUCGCCCGUAGAUGGCGUCCUCUCUGGCGCUCAGCGCCUCUCAACCUCGACGCCUCCUACGACCUUUGCUCCAACGACUUCGGGCGCUUCUCCCUCGUCUCCAGGAUCCUCUGCGAUCACCCUGGCCCGGCCCGCCGCUUCGCGUUCGACCGCAUCCACCUCCACAGAGAGGAAAAAAGGUACGCCGAGGAAGCCGCUCAGCUCGAGAGCUGGUUCAACUCCCCGCUCCUGGACAACCUCCAGGAACUCGAUAUCGUCUUCUCGCUCUUGGAAUAUUUGUGUGGGCAGUCUGAGAAGGAGAAGCGCUAUCCGCUGCCACCGUCGGUGUUGCGCUUAGCACCAACCCUCCAAUUGGCCAGGAUUGGCUCCUGUGAUUUUCCAACGGAGAUUUCACCAGCGCUGAAUUUCCCCCUCCUCAGGCAGCUCGACCUACGGUGCGUUUCCAUCUCCGAGGAUGUCUUCUCCGGGGUGCUCUCUGGCUGCCAUGUCUUGGAGAACUUAUACUUGUCGGAGAUUCGUGAUGUAGGUUGCCUCCGCAUAUGCUCGCCAACUCUCAGGAUCAUCGUCAUCUCUUGUUUGUUUGAAGACAACGGAGAAUUGGUCAUUAUGGAGGCCCCUCGCCUUGAAAGAUUGUUGUUACGUUAG
rnacentral:rRNA from 1 species